UGGCUGUUGACAGUGAGCGGCUGUAAACAUCCUCGACUGGAAGCUGUGAGGCAUGGACGGGCUUUCAGUCGGAUGUUUGCAGCUGCCUCCUGCCCCGGACUUCCAGGAGCUACUUUAGGAGC
ensembl:miRNA